rnacentral:rRNA from 1 species
GUGCAACGGGUGAGUAUGUUUUAUCUCCUAGGAGUACGGAAUAUUGUCCGGAAACGACAACUAAUACCGUAUACGCCCUACGGGGGAAAAAUUUAUUGCUAUUAGAUGAGCCUAUAUUAGAUUAGCUAGUUGGUGGGGUAAUAGCCUACCAAGGUAAUGAUCUAUAGCUGAUCUGAGAGGAUGAUCAGCCACACUGGAACUGAGAUACGGUCCAGACUCCUACGGGAGGCAGCAGUGGGGAAUAUUGGACAAUGGGCGAAAGCCUGAUCCAGCCAUGCCGCAUGAGUGAAGAAGGCCUUUGGGUUGUAAAGCUCUUUUAGUGAGGAAGAUAAUGACGGUACUCACAGAAGAAGUCCUGGCUAACUCCGUGCCAGCAGCCGCGGUAAUACGGAGAGGGCUAGCGUUAUUCGGAAUUAUUGGGCGUAAAGGGCGCGUAGGCUGGUUAAUAAGUUAAAAGUGAAAUCCCGAGGCUUAACCUUGGGAAUUGCUUUUAAAACUAUUAAUCUAGAGAUUGAAAGAGGAUAGAGGAAUUCCUGGAUGUAGAAGGUAAAAUUCGUAAAUAUUAGGAGGAACCCAGUGGCGAAGCGUCUAUCUGGUUCAAAUCUGACCUGAACGCGAAGCGUGGGGAGCAAACAGGAUUAGAUACCCUCCUAGUCCACGCUGUAAACGAUGAAUGUUGGAAAUAUGGGGAGUUUACUUUCUGUAUUUCAGNUAAGUCGCGUUAAAGAUUAACCGCCUGGAAACUACGGUCGCAACUUUAAAACUCAAAGGAAUUGACGGGGACCCGCACAAGCGGUGGAGCAUGGGUUUAAUUGNAUGCNACGCAAAAUUCCGU